CAGCAGCCGCGGGAAUACGGAGGGUGCAAGCGUUAUCCGGAUUUAUUGGGUUUAAAGGGUCCGUAGGCGGAUCUGUAAGUCAGUGGUGAAAUCUCACAGCUUAACUGUGAAACUGCCAUUGAUACUGCAGGUCUUGAGUAAAUUGAAGUGGCUGGAAUAAGUAGUGUAGCGGUGAAAUGCAUAGAUAUUACUUAGAACACCAAUUGCGAAGGCAGGUCACUAAGAUUUAACUGACGCUGAUGGACGAAAGCGUGGGGAGCGAACAGGAUUAGAUACCCCCGUAGUCCCUGUCUCUUAUACA
rnacentral:rRNA from 1 species